rnacentral:rRNA from 1 species
ANACUACCCUGUAGUCCUAGCCGUAAACGAUACUCGCUAGGUGUCGGCCACGGUGCGACCGUUGUCGGUGCCGUAGGGAAGCCGUGAAGCGAGCCACCUGGGAAGUACGGCCGCAAGGCUGAAACUUAAAGGAAUUGGCGGGGGAGCACCACAACGGGUGGAGCUUGCGGUUUAAUUGGAUUCAACGCCGGACAUCUCACCGGAUAAGACAGCAGAAUGAUGGCCAGGUUGAUGACCUUGCUUGACAAGCUG